rnacentral:ncRNA from 2 species
CAGGCGUAUGCGGGAGAACCAGCGCGGCGGUAAUUCAUCGUCGACUUUGGUGCCGAAGGAGCAACCGCCCCGGAAACUCUCAGGCCACAGGGACCGCAGGCGCAAC